UUAGAGUUUUAUCCUGGCUCAGAUUGAACGCUGGCGGCAGGCCUAACACAUGCAAGUCGAGCGGUAGAGAGAAGCUUGCUUCUCUUGAGAGCGGCGGACGGGUGAGUAAUGCCUAGGAAUCUGCCUGGUAGUGGGGGAUAACGCUCGGAAACGGACGCUAAUACCGCAUACGUCCUACGGGAGAAAGCAGGGGACCUUCGGGCCUUGCGCUAUCAGAUGAGCCUAGGUCGGAUUAGCUAGUUGGUGAGGUAAUGGCUCACCAAGGCGACGAUCCGUAACUGGUCUGAGAGGAUGAUCAGUCACACUGGAACUGAGACACGGUCCAGACUCCUACGGGAGGCAGCAGUGGGGAAUAUUGGACAAUGGGCGAAAGCCUGAUCCAGCCAUGCCAGCUGUGUGUGAAGAANGUCUUCNGAUUGUAAAGCACUUUAAGUUGGGAGGAAGGGCAGUAAAUUAAUGGNGUACU
rnacentral:rRNA from 1 species